AAGGCGGGACCUGCUCGAGAGGCACCGGAGUCCUAGGCUUCAAGGCAAGGUGGUUUCUCCUAUGUGCAAGGAGCUAUCUCCCUAGCUGCAGGCUUAUCUUUAAAAAUAGUCGAGAUACACAGCAAGCAAGUGUUUAAACCUUUUCCACAUAAAGUUUUUAGGCCAUCCAUCGUUUUGCCUUACAAGAGAAGUAUGUAUACAUCACUUAAGUAGUUCAAAGUUGUUACCAAGGACAUGGCUCAGAAAGUAGAAUGCUCGAAGCAGGAACAAGCACGAAUCACUGGGUUCCAUCCCCAGCACCCCAUAAAUGCAGCAUGACCACGUGUCUGUAACCCUAGCAUUCAGGAAAUGGAAGCCAGAAGUUGUUCAGGCUCACCUUCGCCUACAUAGUAAGUUCCAGGCAAACCUGGCCUACAUGAGACACUGCCCACCCAAUCCCCAAGAAAGAAAAUUAUCACUAAAAGUAUUUAAUUAUCGGGCGAUAUCUCCCUAUGAUAUAUCCCUUACAUUUUUCCACCUUCUGAUCUUCCAGUAUGCCCACAAACCCCUCAAUGAAGGAGGAUCCUGCAAUUCCAAAAGAAAAUCAAAUGAUUUUUUUUUUCUCUUUCUGCCACCCACAUUGCCCACCUUUGCAGAAGUGGGGAAAAGUCUUCUGAAAAAUAUGAUCUUUGACUCAAGACAGAAAGUCCCACAAGGAGUUGGCCAGACCCAGCCCUGGUCACCAACCUACUGUAAAAAACAAAACAAUAAUGGAGCUGAGAAAGUAGUUCAGUGUUGCAGCAGUUUGGUCACCUUCCAUGUUUGAGGCCUUCUGUUCAAUCGCCAGUGCUGUAAAAUCAUGAUCGUUACUUCAAUAAGAUUGUUUCCAUAC